rnacentral:rRNA from 1 species
GACGUAGGGCGCGAGCGUUGUCCGGAUUUAUUGGGCGUAAAGAGCUCGUAGGCGGUUUGUCGCGUCGUUCGUGAAAACUCACAGCUUAACUGUGAGCUUGCGGUCGAUACGGGCAGGCUAGAGUUCGGUAGGGGAGACUGGAAUUCCUGGUGUAGCGGUGAAAUGCGCAGAUAUCAGGAGGAACACCGGUGGCGAAGGCGGGUCUCUGGGCCAGCACUGACGCUCAUGCACGAAAGCGUGGGGAGCAAACAGG